rnacentral:lncRNA from 1 species
AAAACACUAUAAAAGAAGAAGUUGCAGCUAAAGAAGGAACAAAUGGCGCUGAUUUUGAAGCCAAAAGCAAAAUCUUAGUAGAAGACUCAAAAAUCGAUGUGAAACCAAAGGUGGAAACAAGUUCUGGAAUUGGUGUUGACACAAACACCUCGAGGAUCGAUAGCGUUUCAGAAACUACACAGAGAGGCAGUUCAGUUUCAGAUUCUUAAUAGUAAAACAAAGGGUCAUUAACAUUACAGGUUUUUUUCCACACGCCGGAAGUAAAAAGAACAAAAGUAGAAAGUGACUUGAGGCACAUUCCUUGGUGAAUGACAUUGUACAAUCUAAUUCUGAAUUUGUUUUUGCACGUUGUUGACAUUUUCUUUGCCUACAAAAUGAGAAUGGGCGAUACUUUUAUACAAUCUGGUCCCAUGAAUUAUUGAACUUACUUUUGAAAUUGUCCCUUAAAUCUCGGGGUUUUUUUAAAUUUUUUUAAAGAAGUUUUCUUACAAGGUCUCAAUGGGAAACUGGGGGGCCCUUGUUACAAGGUUCCAACUUACAAGAGAUAUCUCAUUGUCAUAUUUCUAUUUACAGAGGAGCUGGCAACCACUAGCAAUGAAUUUUGUGUGUGGUGUAAACUAUGAUAGUACUACUGCAGGACUGUUAUGUGCAAAUUGAAAAUGAUGUUUUGGUCCCCUUCCAUGAUCUUCAACUUCUACCACAUCUUAGAUGUUAGGACAUCCUUGCAAAAGGAAAAGGGAAAAAACAAAAACAUUCAUUGUUAGCUUUCUUUCUUGUGUUGUGGUCUUGGAGACUUGGGAGUUCUUGCAAAACAGAAUGGCGAAUGAGAAACAAUUGAAAUGGGAAGGCAAGGCUAGUGCGGAGCUCAAUGGCCCAGAAGCAGAACAAGUGUGGCCUCUUUUGGAGGACUUCUUUGGCCUGCACAAGUGGUUCCCAACUCUCACAACUUGCCUUGGUGUUGAAGGCAUAUCAGGGCAACCCGGUUGUGUGCGCUACUGCGCUGGGUUCAAGACUCCUGUUGACCAUAAGAGAGAGCAAGACCAAGACCAAGAGAAGGUGAAUUGGACCAAGCAGAAGCUGCUUUCUAUAGACCCAGCACAACUGAUAUUUAGCUAUUCUAUUAUAGAUGGGAAUGUUGGGUUCAACUCAUACAUUUCAACUGUGCAAGUGGUUCCAAAGGAAGGUGGCUGCAGCAUCGUGUGGAAGUAUGAAGUUGAACCCGUGGAGGGGUGGAAAAUGGAGGAUCUGGACAUGUUUAUUGGCACAGGCUUGCAAGUCAUGGCUAGCAGAAUGGAAGCCUCUCUCCAACUCCAAGUUGGGCCACUGGAACCAUAGAGUCAUAACUUGUCUUGCUGUCCCUUGUUGGUGUGACUUUAUUUCUCUUGGCUCAGCAUUAAUAUUGUUGCAGAAAAGGUGUUAUGUGUGUUUUUCUGUGUCUGUUUUCUUCUUCUUCUUUUUUAUUUAUUUAUUUAAAUUUAAAGAUAUGUAUGUCGAUCCAUCAACUAUGUAAAAUCCUGCAGUAAAUUUUAUUUCCUUUUGAUAUCUUUGGAUAGGAAUUAGAAUAGAAGAAAACAUGUGGGUGUGGCUUGUGUUGUUCAUAAAUUAUAAUUUCCUUUUAUGUCUGAAUCAAAAUUUUCUUUUUAAAUUUUCACUAUUUCUCAGCCAUUAUAUUCAAUCGAAGUGGGAAAACAGAAAAUUGGAAGACUUACCAAAGACAAAGGUUAAUGAAGAAGUGGGUUUGUAUUAAUAUGGGAUAAGAGUUGAAGAAAGUGUGUUAGCUCCAUCAGUCCCAGUGCUUCUCAAUAAUGUUGGUAAUAUCAAGUUUAUUGCAGCUUCUAUGUGACUUACCAAAUUGCCUGUUGUAAUUUGGAGGAAGUAAACCAAAUGUCUGUAUGAAAACAGAAGAAAAAAACUCUCUAGUAGUAUUUUCAGCGAAUAUGCGACAGUUAGGCUUUUUAACAGCGGUUUUCGUCCUCUAGCAGCGGUGUCUGUACUUUUUUUGACGGUUUAUAUCUUGGGUCUUAAACAUCUUUAGUCGCGGUAAAAGUCGUCGCUAAGCGUUUCUAAAGACCUCUUUCACAGCGUUCUUGAUAACCGCCGCAAAAAGUUGGAAAAUAAUUAUAAUCCUCUCUCACGCAGGAAACUGGGAGGCGCAAAUGAAAAGAUAAAAAUAAAAACCUCCUUUUUAAUAUCUUUUAUGUAUAUAAACAUAUUACAUGAUAACAUUACUAAACGUUUAUUAAUUGGAUACAUGAAAAUGCCUGUAUGGGAUUGGAAAGAAAUUCAGUGCAAGUUUCUCAUGCCAUCCACAGUACAGAUGACUCCCACCGACAUGCCAGCAACUUCUUGCCUGUUAUCAUUGCUCAAUCCUUCUUUGAGAUGGUCUCUCUUAGAAAUUCCACACCAAUAAAAGUCAGAGCUGAAACUGGAUUAUUCUUAAUCCUAGGAAUGCUACCUCUGAGCAACCUCCUGUGCAUCGUCAGCCAUCCUUAUGCUACUUUGCAUAUAACAGCCAUUGUACCUAAAGUUCACAACAAACAUUAGACGGAAACUGUAAAAUCGUUCUUCUAUCACAUCUAACUUUCAUCCCAUGAGUUUGAAAUAUAUAUCAGGUCGAAAGGAAAGCUCAGUUUGAAAUAACAAUCAACACAAACUUUACCAAAGUACAUAUUUUCUGACUAUAGCCCAUCAAUUAUGUACCCAAUAUUUAAAAUAUUCUUAUCUGGCUAUGAGAUUCAACCAAAAUGGUGGGAAAAGGUGCAUUAUUGAUAAAACAACUACAGCAUUGUAAAAUCCCCUCAAUAAUCACAAAGGAUAAAUGGUGUUUGUGUCUGUGGACCAAGGUGGUCAACAUUCACAUACACAACAGCUGACACAAUACGAAUGCCAAGCCUUGCUCGGAUAACAUUAAGUACUCUAACAACACAACAUGAUGCUUGCAACAAAUUUUUUUUUUCCUACACUAAUAACUAAAAGUUAUAUGAAAGUAAAAAUAAUAAAAAUUAAAAACCACAUAUAGAACUGAUACCUCAAGGUUGAUCCCUGUACUUGCAAUCUUGUUUUGAUCACAUCGAAGGCACCGGUAAGAUAUUUGCAUAAUGCCUGACCAAUUCGAAGCAAGUAUAAAUUACCCUACAGAAAAUGCUGAAUGCAAUUAUACAAGACUUAAACCAGCACCAAGUAGGACAAAGUUUAAGCAAGGUACAUACCACCAGACAAUCCUCCCAGAAUGAGUCUCUCAACAGAACUAUCAAUAUGGAAAUUGGGAUUGCCUGUGGAUUUUUACUUCCCAUACUGCUGCAAAAUUUCAAGCCUUCAUAAUAACCUGCAUACCAGAAAUAAGAACCAGAAUAAGUUAAAAGCAACAGAAUAAUGACAACUAAAUCAUUUAGAGGCCAAAAUCCUAACUGCCUAUUAUUUGCCAAUCAUAAAAGAAAGUAUGUCUGAACUACUGUACUCAUGGUGUAACUGGAUUGCAUGUAGUACAAACUCAAACUAAGUUAACUUCUCUUUUCUUAUAAGAAACAGAGCUCUUAUUAAUGAAAAUAGUGCUACAAGGACGAUAAACGAGAUGUCCAUCUAAAUACUGUUAGCAUCCUCAAUCUCAAACGCAAUUUACAAUAAGAUCAAACUAAGAAUUCAGAGGUCAAGACUCUUAAUUGCCUGAUCUCCAUCAUAAUGAAAAUAGGGAGAAGAGGGAAGGAGGAGGAGGGAACACCAUACAUUUGGAUACCAGGCUUCAUAGGUAAGCUAGCCUUAAGCAGGAAAAUAAAAUGCCAUAUCCAAUACUUGAAAUUUUACUUGAAAUUUUACUUUCUUACAUACAAUUUAUAUGAAGUUAAAAGCCAUCCAACAAAAAAUUGACCUUUAUUACACAUUAGUCAUGAAUGCUACAUCUACAACAUCUUUACUCUAUACCUGACUUGCACAAAGAAUAACUUGCUCUGAAUAUGUGUCUUUACGGUGCCAACCUGAUGCAUCAUUCCUUCCCCACAUGCCCCAGCAAUAGCCCGAGAAACUCCUUCUAAACUACAUUGACAGAUUAAAAAGUCAAUUACCAACUUUCCACUUCCACAGAUAUUUGAAAAUUCUACUAAUCAAAACAUUACAACCGAAUAACCAAACAAAAUUUUUAUACACAUUGUCAUAUACAAUUAUACGUUCACUAAAUAUCAAAAUCCUUGAGUUCUUUUAUUUCCCAACAACAUUUUUUCAUAAUUAAACAGAAUAUUUCCUUUGAUUUCUAACGCUGACUGAAUUAGUUUCUUUAUUACUGAAAAUUUGAAAAAUAAAAAUUGGGUUUUAAGUUGCUUCAAAUUCCAAACAUGCGUAGUUAAACCUAUCAUUAAAAUUCAAUGGAUGCAUUUAGCUAGAAGAUUAAAGUUUUAAUCUUUCAUUAUAAGUUUCACUGCUUGAUGUCUUCCAACGAUCCUAAAAUGUCAGAAUCAAAAUUUUCUUUUUACUUUUUAAAAAUUCUCUCUGUUUCUAGGUCAUAAGAUUCCUAUAAUCGAAAUUAUUAAAGUGGGAAAAUAGAGAAUUGGAAGGCUUACCAAAGGAAAAAGAUAAUGAAAGCCAUGAUUUUUGAUAUGCCAUGUAAUUUGGGAAAAGCAGUCGCAGAGGGAUUUUGAUUUCGCCGUCGAAUCGUCGAUCGCACACCUCUCCCUUUCUCUCUCUCCCGAUCAAUCGUCGAUUGGGCCUGUGGCGUCGAUUGGGCCUCUGCCUCAGGAGACGAGUUUGGGGUGUAGCUUCUUGGACUUUGGAGCUGUUGGGGUUCUCUGUUGGGCUUUGUUUCUAAUCCUUUCCUUGAAUGAAAUUUCAGCUGACAAAAAAUAAAAAUAAAAUAAAAAUGAAUAAUUACGAUGUGUUUGGGAUGUUGUUAUUUCUUGAGGACCCAAAUUAGAAAAACAAGGCAACAGGAUUUAUCCUAGUAGAAAAUAGUUUUGACGUGAAAAACAGUGAUCUCAAUAGCACAUUGAUAGUGUGUGUAAGAAACUCCCUUACUAUUGCUUAUAUUUUUUUAAAAAAGUUUAGCCAAGCACACCAUAAAUUAAAAUUUUGCAACAAUUUUAAAUGAACAACCAAAAUUGAGCUAUGGGGUGAGCAUCAAUCAUGCCAAACUCAUCAAAUCGGCGGAUGAGAAUUAUAGUUACCGGGUUGGUUUGAUUUUGACCCCAAAAAAAAAAAACCUAUUGGUUCAGUUGCGAUUUUGGGCCAUGUUUAGUUAAAUCAUGUUCGAGGAAGAAAUGAUUUUUUUUUAUUUUUAAAAAAUUAAGUUGAAGGUAGAAGAUGGAUUACUCAUGAAGAAAAUUUAUACCAUCUAAUCUUCACAAAAUGGUAGAAUAACAAUAUCUUAUAACUAAUCCCCCAAAAUGGAAAAUUAUUCACCCCUAUCUUCAUUUCCUCCUUUAAUAUAUCUUAGAUUUAGUGACUUUUUCAAUUUAAUCAAAUACUAGUUACUAAAUAUGGUCUUGAUGAUGGCACGUUGAACCAAACCGGCCUAAAUUCAACCAAACCAGUGAAUUAUAUUUUUAUUUUUAUAUUCUUUUAUUUUACACUUGUAGCACUUUCAUUAGAUAAUUACUAGAGAAAGACGGCGAUUUUGAAGUUUGAUGGCACGUUGAAUUCAAGAAUCGAAAAUGUGAAGGACCAAGAGAGAGCCACAGAGUCAAGGGGUUUAGAGUCUUUAGACCGAACAAGGACAUUUCAGUAUAACAUAGUAGGAAGACUGACACUCUUCGUGUCCAGAUUAAGUGGUAGAUAGAGUUCAUGGUUUUGAUGAUGAGAAUGGUGUUUCUGUGGAUGGCAAUGGUGCUGAUUUUGAAGCCAAAAGCAAAAUCUUAGUAGAAGAGUCAAAAAUCGCCAUUAAACCUAAGGUAGAAACGAGUUCUGGAAUUGGUGUUCACACAGGCACCUCAAGGAUCGAUAGCGUUUCAGAAACUACACAGGGGGGCAGUUCAGUUUCAG